UGAUGUCAUCAGUCACAUUGACCACAAACUCCCACUGAAAGGAGUCACAGAGUGACGAAGAGGAUGGACAGUUGGUGGCUCUGCUGACUUCCUGGCACACUGGAGGGAGAACAUCCGUCACCUGAAGACAGAACAUGACACCACUGUCAUCGGCCUCAUCAAGGACGGUGACGAGUCUGCAUAUCGACAGGAAGCGAAGCGGCUGGAGCUGUGGUGCGGCCGACACAACCUGGAGCUGAACACGCUCAAGACUGUAGAGAUGAUCGUGGACUUCAGGAGGCAUCCUUCGCCACAGCUGCCCCUCACGUUGUCCAGCUGCCUUGUGUCAACUGUCGAGACCUUCAAGUUCCUGGGAAUUACAGUCUCUCAGGACCUGAAGUGGGCGACCAACAUCAACUCCGUCCUCAAAAAGGCCCAGCAGAGGAUGUACUUCCUGCGGCUUCUGAGAAAGCACGGCCUGCCACCGGAGCUGCAGAGACAGUUCUACACAGCGGUCAUCGAAUCAGUCCUGUGUUCUUCCAUCACAGUCUGGUUUGGUGCUGCUACAAAAAAAGGACAAACUCCGACUGCAACGGACAAUCAAAACUGCUGAAAGGAUUGUCGGUACCCCCCUACCCACCAUUGAGGACUUGCACGCUGCCAGAACUAAGACAAGGGCGUGCGAAAUCCUCUCGGACCCUCCGUACCCCGGUCACCAGCUCUUCCAGCUCCUUCCCUCAGGUAGGCGCUACCGAUCAAUGCAAACUAGAACUAGUAUACAUUCCAACAGCUUCUUCCCUCUUGCGAUCAACUUCUUAAACGCCUGACCUACAAUUCCAUUACAACAUGCUGGCAAUUUUUUGACUUGAGUUGGUUGUCACAUUUCUGUGGGGCCAAUUAUGUAUUACUCGUGCACUCACUGUAGUUGUCUCGCCAUGCUGCACUAUUUGCAUAUAGUGGCCACUCAUGCCAGAGUAACAUCUGCUCCAUUUGCACACUGAUUGAGGAGUAUCUGUAACAUUUGCACAACCAACAUUGUCCCAGAUUAUCGCACUCCUCGUGACUUUAAACCGCAUACACUCCUUGAAGUCUCAGGGCCCUUUGCACAAUGGUCAUUGCACCGGACUAUUGCAAUAUUAGUCUGCUCUAAGUGCUAGAGGACUUUUUGCACAAUUGUAAAAAAUAAAUAAUAAUUUUUAAAUGUACCGGCAUUACCAGCUAACUAGCAACCCUGUACUGCUCAGUGACUGUUUUUUUUUGUUGUCAAUGUCUUUCUGUCUCCAAAGUGUUCUGUAAAUUGACUGUCUGUUGUCGUACUAGAGCGGCUCCAACUACCGGAGACAAAUUCCUUGUGUGUUUUUUGGACAUACUUGGCAAAUAAAGAUCAUUCUGAUUCUGGUUAAGUUUAAUUAAAGAGGUGGUUGUGUAGCUGAACACUGGAAGCCCAUUACAUAUUGUUUACUCCCAUUACUUUGUAAUAGUCCUAUUCAUCUAUCAUUCAAAUUUUACAAGAAAAAUGUAGUUUAGCUGUUGAAAUACACCUGUUUGAUACAUUAUUCACACAACACAGAUUUGCUCCGGCUUAUGUGUAAAACUUAUUUUCUCACUGUUCUGUCACUUUUUUAUGGGCUGAAACAUGGGCCAGCGGGAAGUGAAUUUGAAUCAUUUAUAUUUGAAGUUGAAUUUCUACACUUGAAUAAUUGCAUUCAAAAACAUAAUUUGAACAACAUAAUUUGAAUUUGUAUUGAUUAAUUUGAAACAUUGCAUUUAAAAACUGAAUCUGAAUAGUAUAAUUUGAAAUUGAAUUUAUUAGUUUGCAACUGAAGUCCAAUAAACUUGAAAGUGAAUGUAACCAUUUUUUAUCCGCACUGAAAAUUCAAAUUAUAUAUUUUCACAUUCAGUUUGAUCAUUUCAGAUUCAUCCAUCCAUCCAUUUUCUUUACUGCUUAUCCUCACUAGGGUUGCAGGCCACUGGAGCCUAUCCCAGCGGGAGGCGGAGUAAACCCUGAACCGGUCGCCAGCCAAUCGCAGGGCACAUAGAAACAAACAACCAUUCACACUCACAUUCACACCUAUGGGCGAUUUAGAGUCUUCAAUGGACCUACCACGCAUGUAUUUGCGAUCUGGGAGGAAACCAAAGUGCCCGGAGAAAACCCACCCAGGCACGGGGAGAAAAUGCAAACUCCACACAGGUGGGGCCAGGAAUUGAACCCCGGUCCUCAGAACUGUGAGGCAGACGCUCUAACCAGUCGUCCACCGUGCCGCCAAGAUUCAGUUCGACAAAUUCAAUUUCAAAUUAGCUGUGACAGACAUCUGGGAACUGUAAGGACUUUGUCUUAGGUGGAAAACAUCAAAGUCCAAAACAUGUCCAAAAGUAAAUGGACAACGGCUGCAUAAGGGCUGGACUCCAAUUCAUUCAUGUAAACACCCCAAUUAUGCAGAAAAGCUGGAAAACCAGUUUGCUGCUAACGACUCUGCAUCAGUUUGGCGAGGAUUACAAUUGCUAACCAAUUACAAGCGAUCAUCCCCCCAAGCGAAGAACUGGACUACGACUUGAAUACUUUCUACUGCAGAUUUGAAAAGGACACUUUCACACCCAACACCCACCUAGCCGCACCACCAUCACACCUCUGACUCCCUCUUCUGCAUUGACCCUUCACGAACAGGACGUGAAAUGUGUCUUCAAACAACAAAAGAUCAACACAGUGGCAGGCCCGGACAGUGUGUUCCCCUCCUGCUUGAAAGUCUGCGCGGACCAGCCCACUCCAGUUUGCACACAGAUCUUUAAUAGAUCUUUCGAACUAUGUGAAGUCCCAUCCUGCCUCAAACGCUCCACCAUCAUCCCAUUCCCCAAGGAACCUGCAAUUUUAGGACUGAAUAACUACAGACCUGUCACCCUGACAUCUGUGGUCAUGAAGUCCUUUGAAUGCCUCAUGCUAGACCACCUCAAGAGCAUCCCAGGACCCCUGCUGGACCCCCCUGCAGUUUGCCUAUCGAGCAAAAUAGUCUGUGGUGGAUGCAGUCAACAUGGGAGUUCACUUCAUCCCGGAACACCUCGACGGUGAAGGGACCUACGCAAGGAUCCUACUUGUGGACUUCAGCUCUGCAUUUGACACCAUCAUUCCCAAACUCUUCUCCGCCAAGCUUCUCCAGCUCAACGUCUCGCCUGCCAUCUGCCAGUGGAUCUACAGCUUCCUGACGGGCAGGACACAGCAGGUGAGGCUGUGUGUUUGCCGCACUACAGCUGCAGCCGCUCCAGCUCCUGGCGAUACGCAGAUUAAUCACCGUCUUGGAUGAAGCCAAAGACUAAGGUGUCGUCUGCAUACUUCAGGAGUUUGACAGCUGGGUGCGCUGGUGUAGUCGUUCGUGUAGAGUGAGAAGAGCAGCGGAGGUAGGUGCUAUCGAACAAUGCAAACUAAAACCAGUAGGCAUUCCAACAGCUUCUUCCCUCUUUCCAUUAACUUCAUAAACAGUUGACUUACAAUUUCAUUGUAACAUGCUGCCAAUUUUGCACAUCUCUGUUGGGACACUUCAACAUUAUUCAUACACUCACUGUUUUAUCACGCUGCAGUAUUUGCAUACUGUUGUUGAUUACUACUGGGCACUUAUGUGUUGGAGAACUCUCUGCACCAUUUGCACAAUCAUCACUGUACCAGAUCAUUGCACUAUUGGUCACUUUAAAUUCCUCUAAAUUGCUUGAGGACAGCAUCAUUUGCACAAUUGCCACCAUAUCAGCAUUACCACACUAGUGGUACACUUUCAUUGCUCAAUGACUCUCCAUACGUAUGUUUUUUAUGUCCUACGUGCAUAUAUUGUCAUAGUGGCUGUUUGUUGUCGUACUAGAGUGGCUCCAACUACUGGAGACAAAUUCCUUGUGGUUCUUGUAACAUACUUGUAUAGAGUAUAAUAAAGCUGGUUCUGAUUCUGA